UAGAUCUCUAAUACUGAGAGUUAGAGGCUUGAUUUGAUCUUGGGCGGUAUUUCAUGAAAUUUCUGAGAGAUUCUUGAUUUGAAUCGGUGUCAAGCGGUUCACCUUCGAUUCCUUCCGGCACCGGCAGAUGGAGCAAUUUUGUCAAAUAAUAAUUUUCAAUCCAAUGGAGCUGACAGGUAGGCCUCCUAAGCCCCGUAACGUGCACAUCAGAUUUCCAGCGAAUGCAAUAAAAGAAAUAUACAAUACUCUCUAACUCGGCCGAAUCAAGAACCACUAGUGCAGAGAUGCUCUCGGCAGAAUCAGAUUUGCUUUCAGACGAUUAUUGCAUGUACGAUGUAUCAUGGGAUUUCAAAGUAUUGACGGACAAAGGGCAAGAUGUAUUAAUUAGAACUCAGUUAAAGAAUAAAUGAAUCAUAAACAACAAUAAAUUAGUUAUGUGUUGUGGAUGAUACAGAUCAAUCCAAUCUAAGUUUCAUCUCAGCUAUCAACCUAUGUAGCUUUUGCUUGUUCACCAUCUCUAUUUGCAUCUCCAGCAGCCUCAUCCCCAGAAAGUAGAUAAUGAAGGGAACUGGAAAAUAUUUCACAUGACAAUGUGCUCAAGACUCCGUAGCUGCUGCAUGAUGGCGCUCUGCAAAAACCUCAACAAUCUGAUGUUGCAGUGAUUCCUGAUUUGUUGAGCUUCUAUAAAUAUUCCACCUUGUUUUAGAUUCUUCAAACCGUUAUUUUUCCACUUCUAGUCACCCUCUGCAGUGAUUCCGCUUUGCUUCUUUCUCGAUCGCGAGAAAAAAGCAAAAAAAUUUGACAAACUCAAGAAUUUUGGCAGUGAAACUAAUGUUCAGACUUUCUCUUUGCCUAGUACUUUCCACCCAAUAUAAUGGGUUUGAUUGGGACGGAGGGUGCUUUUGUCCAUUCAGUUAUUAUCUGAGGAUAAAGUUGUCAUUUGUGUAAUAAAGUAUCACGGUGUGUAAAGAUCUAUUACUUUUUAGUAGAGCUUGAGUGCAAAGUGCUUAUAAACAUAUUUCGGGGUGUAUUGUGCAAUGGCUAUGAAAGUUCAGGGGGUUUUCUGCAUUUAACCCUA